GAUGAACGCUGGCGGCGUGCCUAAUACAUGCAAGUCGAGCGAACAGACGAGGAGCUUGCUCCUCUGACGUUAGCGGCGGACGGGUGAGUAACACGUGGAUAACCUACCUAUAAGACUGGGAUAACUUCGGGAAACCGGAGCUAAUACCGGAUAAUAUAUUGAACCGUAUGGUUCAAUAGUGAAAGACGGUUUUGCUGUCCCUUAUAGAUGGAUCCGCGCCGCAUUAGCUAGUUGGUAAGGUAACGGCUUACCAAGGCAACGAUGCGUAGCCGACCUGAGAGGGUGAUCGGCUACACUGGAACUGAGACACGGUCCAGACUCCUACGGGAGGCAGCAGUAGGGAAUCUUCCGCAAUGGGCGAAAGCCUGACGGAGCAACGCCGCGUGAGUGAUGAAGGUCUUCGGAUCGUAAAACUCUGUUAUUGGGGAAGAACAAAUGUGUAAGUAACUAUGCACGUCUUGACGGUACCUAAUCAGAAAGCCACGGCUAACUACGUG
rnacentral:rRNA from 1 species